AUGGACAUCGUGGUUUAUUCCAAUAACAUCAGGCUGUGCUCAGUUGAUGGCGGGUCUGUGACGACAGUGCGAUCACAUCGUGCCGGCCGGUCGGGAGAAGCUAGGAGGACCAGUUCAACCGGGACGUAUGUGAUCGAGCUCAAACAAAAUGGAGAAAGUCUUUAUCUUGUGGCCAGUAAGUAUAUGAGUUGGUUCAGAGGAAUAGUUACUCGGAAAGGUCGGAGAUUUGAGAUUGACGAAGACAAGGAGUCAAGAGGCCCAAAAAUCAUGAAGAAUCCUGUUUCACUGGGACAUAAUGGCAUGUACACUGAUCUUCUUCCCGGGGAGCACAUCGCACACCUGAAGCUUGGAUAUCAACGUUUUCUGUGGGCUUUCUUUAUUCUGUCUAGAUUGGGAGAACAGAAGAAAGGAGACUCUAAGGACGAAAGCAUAGCAUUUACCAUCAUGGCACUUAUGUUCUUUGAAGGACCAAGGUUUGUUGAUGUGUGUGAUUUCUUCAAGAGCGUGCUGACUCAAGAUGCAAACAUUGAGCUCGGAGGGACCAAUCAAGAACAGAUAGGAGAUUGGUGUGACUAUGGUACAAGGUUCUACACUGAGAAAGGGGAUGAGAGGGCAGAACCUAUUCUUAUCUCACAAAAUACAUCAGAACAUGUGAAAGCAAUUCCAAGGAAGCUUCGGAUAAUGUGCCGAUCAACGUGGGACAAGUGGAUGGAGGACAAGGGUGAUCAGAGCAAGAGCAGCUCCAGCAGUCGCAGAGGAUAA
rnacentral:rRNA from 1 species